UUGACCCGUCUUGAAACACGGACCAAGAAGUCUAUCUUGCGCGCGAGCCAAUGGUACUCAGUUGAAACACCAAAGGCGUAAAAAACAUAACUUGAAACUGUGCGGGAUUACGGGCGAGACUCUCUGCUCGUCCCUCCAUCCCCGGGUGUUAUACCAGGCAUGCCGGAGGCUUCGGCCCUCGGUGCCAUAACAUACCGCGAGUGUGCAGGAUGUGACCCGAAAGAUGGUGAACUAUGCCUGAUCAGGUUGAAGUCAGGGGAAACCCUGAUGGAGGACCGAAGCAGUUCUGACGUGCAAAUCGAUUGUCAGAAUUGGGCAUAGGGGCGAAAGACCAAUCGAACCAUCUAGUAGCUGGUUCCUUCCGAAA
rnacentral:rRNA from 1 species